UGAGGUGAGAUGGUUUGAUACUAACGUC
rnacentral:piRNA from 1 species